CUGGUUGAUCCUGCCAGAGGUUACUGCUAUCGAGGUUCGACUAAGCCAUGCGAGUCGAAUGUAGCAAUACAUGGCGUACUGCUCAGUAACACGUGGACAACCUGCCCUUAGGUCGGGUAUAAACCCGGGAAACUGGGUAUAAUCCCCGAUAGAUCUCGGCUGCUGGAAUGCACCGAGAUUGAAAGCUCCGGCGCCUAAGGAUGGGUCUGCGGCCUAUCAGGUAGUAGUGGGUGUAGCGUACCUACUAGCCUACGACGGGUACGGGUUGUGAGAGCAAGAGCCCGGAGAUGGAUUCUGAGACACGAAUCCAGGCCCUACGGGGUGCAGCAGGCGCGAAAACUUUACAAUGCUGGCAACAGCGAUAAGGGAACCUCGAGUGCCAGGUUACAAAUCUGGCUGUCGAGAUGCCUAAAAAGCAUUUCAUAGCAAGGGCCGGGCAAGACCGGUGCCAGCCGCCGCGGUAACACCGGCGGCUCGAGUGGUAACCGUUAUUAUUGGGUCUAAAGGGUCUGUAGCCGGUCGGAUAAGUCUCUUGAGAAAUCUGGCAGCUUAACUGUCAGGCUUUCAGGAGAUACUGUCUGGCUCGAGGCCGGGAGAGGUGAGAGGUACUUCAGGGGUAGGGGUGAAAUCUUGUAAUCCUUGAAGGACCACCGGUGGCUAAGGCGUCUCACCAGAACGGACCUGACGGCAGGGGACGAAAGCUAGGGGCACGAACCGGAUUACAUACCCGGGUAGUCCUAGCCGUAAACGAUACUCGCUAGGUGUCGGCCACGCUGCGACCGUGGUCGGUGCCGUAGGGAAACCGUGAAGCGAGCCACCUGGGAAGUACGGCCGCAAGGCUGAAACUUAAAGGAAUUGGCGGGGGAGCACCAC
rnacentral:rRNA from 1 species